GGUAGCUUGGCCUAGUGGUCUAAGGCGUUAGUUUUAGGCGCCAGUCUCUUCGAAGACGUGGGUUGGAAUCCCACCGCUGCCA
rnacentral:tRNA from 1 species